rnacentral:lncRNA from 1 species
UCCUACAUUACAUUAGAAUCCAAACAUCAUCAUCCUACUAAUUGAAACAUAACUGCAAACACCGAAAACAAGCAAGUUACACCAUCUGCAAUAUUAGAAUAUUUCAAGUAUCAAUUUAUAAAAUUUAUUAACCUUAUAUCUCAAAAAUAUUAAAAAAUUAACUUUAUAUAAAACUUACCCAUCAUCACUCAUCUGUGAUUUUACAUACAAAUUCUGCCCACUCUAUCCUUACUUCAUCAAUUUCCUUUUUGGAGUAGCAUCCUCCUGCAAACUAUAAGAAAGACAAACUUGUGAUCAAAUAUGAAAUUAUAGAAAUUGUAUUGAAGUAAAAUUUAAUAAAAAUUAUAAAUUACAAUUACCAGUGUAGUUAUUGGGAGAGAGUGAUCAGAUACAAUAUUAUCAAUAACAUCUCGCAUGUAUCGCAUAACAUAGAAUUCAAAUACGAAUUCAAACUUCAUAGCAAUGAAAUUAUUGUGUAUAGAAAAUACCAUUAAUUAGCUAGACUUUUUUUUUUUGACAGAUAGCUAGACUUUUUGUUAAAAAGAUAUAUAUCCUCAUUUUAUUAUAAAAUCUCAUAUAUAAAAAUUACUCCAUAUUCUAUAAUGUGAAACAAAAGAUGAAAUGAAAAAUAUAGAGCAUAAAAGAGACAAGAAUUCGCAUUUAUACAGCUAUGUAUACACGAUUAAUUAUGCCGUUCUUGAUUUGCUGAUCGUUUAACUAAUUAUGUUAUUAUUUCACAAUAUGUAACAAUUUUAAGACACAGGUGAAUUAAACAACUUAACUCGGACGAAAGAUCUGUAUAACAGAGAGCAACAACACCAACUCACAUAUUGCAAAUCCCCAAUCCAAUGAUCUAAACAGAAUUUCUAAUUCAUCAUCAAAGGUGGUUUUUAGCCUCAAGAUUUGCGGGCCAAAGUGGGACAGUAGAAACUCCCCAAUCCUACAGUGAAGUAGUUCAAGUAAAAAAAAAGUGCACGUAGGUACAAGAACUUGUAGGAAAACAGAGCACUGGAUUUUCUUGAAUGCUGAGAAAGGCAAACAAAGAACUAAGAUUACAAGAUUAUAGUGACAAAGUAAACAAAACAAAUGUUAUUAUUACCUCUAGUUGUGCAACAGGGGCAGAAUCCUCGAAGAACUCGAGGCUCCAGUCAGCAAAGUAAUUAACCUGCAUUGCGUUAAGGAAAAUCUUUAAUAUUUUACAUGAGCAGAACCUCAAAAGAGUUCACAUCCAUUCAGAAAAUAGACAACUUUCACACAAGAUAUCAUUCAGUUCGAACAAUGAGGAAAAGGAAAUCAAAAUGUAUCGCAUAAUCCAGAUCUCACAUUCUAUUAGCCAAAUUUUAACUUCAUUCCUUGUUCAUAAACAAUGAGGAUCGAAAAAGGUAUCAGGAUACAUAGGAAACCAAAAAAAGAAAGAAUAAGAAAUUCAAUUACCUACUGAUUCUUCGAUGAGGCGUAAGAAGAGAUAUGGUCUGGUCUUGAAAGGAUAAUAAUGGCUGCCAAAUGUAGUUGUGGUGGUGAUUCUGACCGGCAGCUCCGGCUUGGAUAUGGCAGCUAACUGUUAGAUUNACAAUUUUUCUAUAUUUUUUGUCUCCGGUGAAGCUCCGAGCUGACGUGCCGCUUACGUGGUAAUACCAAGCUGACCUGUCGCCUACAUGGUAAUACCGAGCUGAUGUGGCCCGUAACUUGGAAAAACAAUAAACAAAAAAUAAAAAAAAAUCAUUAUGUUCCCUCCCCCUUCUCCAAGUCGGCCGGUGGACCGCUGCCAAAGGACCGCCGCUGCCCUUCUUCCGGCGGAAUACCACCUCCGCCUUCCUCCUUCUCGCGUCGUUCCAGACCUCACGCCGCCUCCCACAAUCACUAGAUCAGUCGCCUUCCUCUUCCGCCGCAUCGAACCCCCCUCUACCGCCCUCUCCCUCUCCACCCGACCUCGCGCCGCCUUUCAUCGCUCUGGCGAGAUUAAGGAAUGAGAGAUUUGGAAAACUAGGGCUCUGCAAAACUGAGGGCAGGGGCGGUCCGGUGGGCGGCUCUUCGCCGGAGUUCAGAGAGGAGAAGACGGGGGCUAGAAUUUGAGGUAAAACGACGUCGUUUUAUGCCCAACUAAACGACGUCGUUUUGGUUCCCGUCCGGCGGUGCCAUAUCAUUUUUCAGGUCACUCAAAAAUGCCAUGUCAGCACUCAAUUUGGGGAUUUUCAAAAAUCAUGGAAAAAUUGUUCAACCCCUUAAGUUCAGGGAAUUUUUUAUAAAAAAAAAGUUCAUGGCAAGUUUGGAAAUCCGACCAAAGAUCAUGGUUUUUGGGUAAUUAAUCCUAUUUUUAAGUAUAACAAAAUUAAUUUAGCUAAAUUAAAUUUUAUUACAUGUAAAAAUAUAAAUGUUUUUACUAAAAAUAUAAUAAAUUUUGUGAGAUUUAUUCAUAUAUAUAUAUAUAACUAAAUUUGCUACAUCUGAAGCUAGCUAUCAAAAAUAUUUUUGUUGCACAUAAAUGUCACAAUAUAUUUUUGAUCUCUCUCCCCCUCUCUCAAACACACACACACACAAUUCUUAUUAUAUUACUUUACUACUAAUAAAAUUAAUUUUCUCAAAACACUAGUUAAAAAUAUGUUGUCCUACAAAAUAUAGCUACACUUUUUUAUAUAUCAUAAAUAGAAAAUAAUCUACAUCUUUACGUGUCAUAAGAUUAUGUAUGCCCUCAAAAGUCACUAAAUUUUGUGACAUGCAUGCUUUUAUUUUUGUGACACACAUAACACCUAAUCAUCUCAAGAUGUAACAAUAUUAAUGAUAUUUAUAAAUCUUACAAUUCUUCAAAAUUAUAUAGUUGUGUCAUGCACUGAGAACAUCAAACGAAACAACAUGUUCAAAUAAAUAAACAUAAAUUAUUAAAUAUAAUCAAAAUAUAAGCAAAUGCAAAGUAUGCUUGAAAAAUAAAACAAAAUAUACUCUAUAAAAAUCCGAAAUUGAAAACGUAAAUUUAUGAUUUUGCAUAAAUUGUAAUGGUAAUUGUAGUUAUUAAACAAUUGAAAAUUAUUUGAUAAUGAAAAUUAGCAUUACACAACAUCAUCAUCAUCAUCAUAGAGUUUAUUACUUAAUAAAUAAAUAUUUUAAUACACAACCAUAACUAAAAACUCAUAUUUGAAAUUAUAGUUUUAAUACAUAUAAUUACUCAUUACAAAGUUAUAUUAAAAUAAAUACAAAAAUAUCAUUUUUAAAAAAGAGUUAUACAAUGAACCACUACAAAACAAACGCUAAUAGACAACGAUCAGAACACGUUGUCUAUUACAAAAUCAAUUGUUGUAAAUGAGAGUAUUGUCUAUUGAGGGGCGGUCAUAGACAACGGUCUAGCCGUUGUCUGUUCUCUCAUAGACAACGUCUUGGCGUUUGUUGUCUAUUCUGUGAUAGACAACAUGCGAAAACCCGUUGUCUAUUCUCUGAUAGACAACGCCUGAUCAUUCGUUGUCUAUUCCCUUAUAUACAGCAAGUUCUUGAUCGUUGUCUAUUCUAUAUUACAGUUUUUAUUUUGCAUUUUUAUUUAAAAUUUCCUGUUUUUUCAAUUUAUAUUUCAAUAAAUCUAAAAAUAUAAUAUGAAAAGCUAAAAAUACAUAAAUUAAUAAUAAAAUUCAUACAUUAUAAUCCAUCAUCAUCAUUCUACAUUACAAUACAAUCCAACAUCAUCAUCCCUACAUUACAUUAGAAUCGAAACAUCAUCAUCCUAGUCCUACAUUACAUUAGAAUCCAAACAUCAUCAUCCUACUAAUUGAAACAUAACUGCAAACACCGAAAACAAGCAAGUUACACCAUCUGCAAUAUUAGAAUAUUUCAAGUAUCAAUUUAUAAAAUUUAUUAACCUUAUAUCUCAAAAAUAUUAAAAAAUUAACUUUAUAUAAAACUUACCCAUCAUCACUCAUAUGUGAUUUUACAUACAAAUUCUGCCCACUCUAUCCUUACUUCAUCAAUUUCCUUUUUGGAGUAGCAUCCUCCUGCAAACUAUAAGAAAGACAAACUUGUGAUCAAAUAUGAAAUUAUAGAAAUUGUCUUGAAGUAAAAUUUAAUAAAAAUUAUAAAUUACAAUUACCAGUGUAAUUAUUGGGAGAGAGUGAUCAGAUACAAUAUUAUCAAUAACAUCUCUCAUGUAUCGCAUAACAUAGAAUCCACACUGUUUCCCAUCAGGUUGUUGUGGACUCUGUCACAUUUAAUAAUACUAGUAAACAACUAAACAUACUAUUUAAUCCAAGUGAAACAUAAUUUUAAGGUAAUAAUUUCAUACAUCGAUCACUUCCCACAAAAGAUUCUGUCUCCCCCUUAUUCCUAUGCUCAUGUUGAACAUUUUUAUGGCU